AACCAUAGAAACCUGCGGAGUACCUGCGGAGGGAUCAUUACAGAGUUGCAAAACUCCCUAAACCAUUGUGAACGUUACCUAAACCGUUGCUUCGGCGGGCGGCCCGGGUCCUUCCCGGCGCCCCUCGGCCCUCGCGGGCGCCCGCCGGAGGUAAACCAAACUAUUGCAUUGUAUGGCCUCUCUGAGUCUUCUGUACUGAAUAAGUCAAAACUUUCAGCAAUGGAUCUCAGAUCGGAAGAG
rnacentral:misc_RNA from 1 species